rnacentral:rRNA from 1 species
AUUGAACGCUGGCGGCAGGCCUAACACAUGCAAGUCGAACGAGUGGCGGACGGGUGAGUAAUGUCUGGGCAACUGCCUGAUGGAGGGGGAUAACUACUGGAAAAGGUAGCUAAUACCGCAUACCCUCGGAUGUGCCCAGAUGGGAUUGGCAAGUAGGUGGGGUAACGGCUCACCUAGGCGACGAUCCCUAGCUGGUCUGAGAGGAUGACCAGCCACACGGGAACGGAGACACGGUCAAGACUCCUACGGGAGGCAGCAGUGGGGAAUAUUGCACAAUGGGCGCAAGCCUGAUGCAGCCAUGCCGCGUGUAGGAAGAAGGCCUUCGGGUUGUAAAGUACUUUCAGCGGGGAGGCGUUACCCGCAGAAGAAGCACCGGCUAACUCCGUGCCAGCAGCCGCGGUAAUAC